rnacentral:rRNA from 1 species
AUUGAACGCUGGCGGCAUGCCUUACACAUGCAAGUCGAACGGUAACGGGCCUUCGGGUGCCGACGAGUGGCGAACGGGUGAGUAAUGUAUCGGAACGUACCUUUCAGUGGGGGAUAACGUAGCGAAAGUUACGCUAAUACCGCAUAUUCUGUGCGCAGGAAAGCAGGGGAUCGCAAGACCUUGCGCUGAUUGAGCGGCCGAUAUCAGAUUAGCUAGUUGGUGAGGUAAAGGCUCACCAAGGCGACGAUCUGUAGUGGGUCUGAGAGGAUGAUCCGCCACACUGGAACUGAGACACGGUCCAGACUCCUACGGGAGGCAGCAGUGGGGAAUUUUGGACAAUGGGGGCAACCCUGAUCCAGCCAUGCCGCGUGAGUGAAGAAGGCCUUCGGGUUGUAAAGCUCUUUCGGCCGGGAAGAAAUCGUAUGGGCUAAUACCCUGUGCGGAUGACGGUACCGGCAUAAGAAGCACCGGCUAACUACGUGCCAGCAGCCGCGGUAAAAC